UAACCUGCUGCUACGAGGUUUUUGAUUUCUCAAGCUCAACCGUUACUGCUACCAACUUUCUAGAGGCUUUCUCCUCCCUCCUCCUUAAUUCGUUAUUCUUAGCUACCACCAUGGCCAAUGCAUCCCUAGAUGAUUUCCUGGAAGACCUAGCACUUGAAGAGCUUGUAUAUGACACCAUCUCUGGUAUCACCCCAUGAUCGUAACCUCGAACCCUAUUUCUAGUCUCAUAACCCAUCUGCUAUACAUAAAUCUGUGUUUUAACCUCAGAGGUGCCCUCUUCUCCAGACCCUACAAUUGACUGAAUUUGACUCUCCAUAGAUGUC
rnacentral:lncRNA from 1 species